AGCUCCUGACCCAUAUUUCCAGUGAUCACUGCUACUCCAACAUCCUAUUGGUACGCGUCUAAAUUCAGGCCCUCUUUUUCACCCCUGUAUUAGUCAAGGCUCUCCACAGAAAGAACCAAUAGGAGAUAGAUAGAUCUAUGGAUAGAUGAGAGGGGAUUUAUUAGGGGAAUUGACUCAUGUGAUUAGGAGGACAGGCUGUCUGCAAGCUGGAGACUCUGGAAUGCCAGUAGCAGUAGCGUGGCUCAGUCCAAGUCCAAAGGCCUCAGAACCGGGGAAGCUGAUGGUGUCACUCUCAGUCAGCGGCUGAAGGCCUGAGAACCCAGGGUGCACUGGUGCAAGUCCUGGAGGCCAAGGCCAGAGAACCUGGAGUUCUGAGGUUCAAGGGCUGGAGAAGAAUGGCGUCCUUGCCCUGGAAAAGAGAGAGAUAAUUCUUUACUCUGCCUUUUUGUUCUAUUUGGGCACUUAGCUGAUUGGAUGGUGUCCAUCCACACUGGGUGAGGGUGGGUCUUCUUUACCCAGUCCACUAAUCCAAACAUCGGUAUCUUCCGGAAACACCCUCACAGACAUUUCCAGAAGUAAUGCUUUACCAGCCAUGUGUGUGUGUCUCCUAAACCAUCAAGCUGACACGUAAAACUGACCAUCACAAUCCCCACACUGCAUUUCCCCAGGACCCCAGUCUCCCCAGUGCUAGCUUUUGUAUCCUUUCCAUUGUUGGCAAAGUGGUCUUUCUAACAAGACUAAGUCCUAUGGCAUUUCUCUGCCUAGAGGCCUUUCCAAGAGCUCCCUAGAUCCAGUCCCAAACUCCUCAUGAGGCCGCAGGCCCUGUGACCCGGCCACUGUAUCCAUUGUUGCCUCUUUCUUGUCCCUCUGCCACCUGCUCCACAUUUCCUGACUACAGCUGCUCUUUCACCUCUAUGCUUGUUCAAGAGCUGCCUGAAAAUGAUCCGUCUCCUCGUUGUGCACUACACAAACUGGUUUUCAUUCAUCUGGAUUCAGAUGUAAGACGAUUUUCUCUGUGAAGCCUCCCAUCUUAUAUCUGGAAAGAAAUGAACACUGGUAGGGGUAUGAAUUUCAUUGAGAGAUUGGGACGUCCUUGUGGGUAGAGGCCAUGUCUUAUUCAUCUUUGUGUCUCAUUCCUCCCCUGUUACUUUUUUAACAGAUGAAGGAACAUUUAUUUUGCAUAUAAGGAAACUGAAGUGCAGGAAACAAAUGUCACAAACUCAAGGUCAUGUUACUAAAAAGAGUCUCUGCUGCUGUGGGUCCUGGACCUCUUCUUCACUCUAGUUCUUUCAAAUUACAAAAAAAGAAAGGUGCCUUAGUCCAGGGCCUGCCCGUGCUGGACAUAACAUGGCUAGAUUCUCCCAACCCUCUGGGAGGCUGCAGCAGUGGCACAGGCUGGCUUCGGGGCAGGCAACAGGACAGUCAUACGGGGCCUUUCUGAGAAGGGCCCCACACUAGGUUUAACGUUCUGCUGUGACCAACUUGAAAUUCUUUCUAAUUUUUCUUUGAGCUUGUGAUGGAGACAAGAGGGGCUCUGCGUGCAGGCAGCACCAGGAGGCUUCCCUGACCUUUUCAAUGUUCUGUUGUGUUGUGAUUAGAUAGCAUCACCUUUUCCUCAUUACAUUUCAUGAGUAAUAAAAUGCCUUCAAAUGAUAAUCUUUAUAGCUUUUAUUUGUAGCUGCAUUUAUUUUCCUGCUUUUUGAACAAGGAGCCCUAUUUUCACAUUUCUCUGGGCCCCACAAAUUAUGUGGUCUUCCCUGUAGAUGGGACGUGAAAGACAGUGAAGUAUUUUAAAUUAAAACACAUAGGACUGAGCAGCUGGGAAUUCAGAAGAUAAUAUGAAAUGCAGAGCGAUUUGGCAGAGGUUAGAUGGAAUUAAGGAAGAGAAGUACAAUUUAGGUGAGUGUGGCAAGGAAAAGCCAGUUCUAUUCAAUAGUUAUUGAUACAAUUUUAGCGGUAGUGAUAGAGAAGGAAAUCAAUUUUAGAACUGCGGGGUCAGCAAACAGCCUAUGAAGUGAAAGGAAAAGUGAGUUUUAAAGAGACCCUACUGUGUGACCCAAGGUGUGGCAAAAUAGGUUUUUCUGACUUGAUUUGAUUUAACUGAAUGAUGCCUAGAAGAUAGAAAAAAUGGGUUGUCAAUAGCAAGAGAUACUUUCAAUAACAAGAGAAAUUUGAAAAAUAAAAAAGAAUGGUGUUUCUUUUUUCAAAGAUGUGUUGCUGACUAAAGAAAUGGAGAGCUGAGGAAAGAAAAAAAAUAUUUUUUGCAUGUUUGCCAAAUAUUUGAAUAUUUAUUUCAUCAAAGCAUCUUAAAAGAUUUCUAAGGAUAGAUACAGAUAGAUACAGAUAAAGAUACAAAUAUAAAUAUAGAUAUACAUACAUGUCUGCACACACAUAUAAAUAUAUAAUUAAAAAUAAAUAAAUCAAAGACAUACUGUCAGCUCUCUGUAUCUAUCAGUUCUGCAUCUGUAGAUUCAACCAAUGGUGGAUUAAAAAUACUCAAGAAAAC
rnacentral:lncRNA from 1 species